rnacentral:misc_RNA from 1 species
AAUUUUUUUUAAUGAUUGAUUUUUUUUCUAGCCUCCCUAUCUGUUGAUCUGUAGUAAAGCCUUCUGUACAUUUAAUAAAUAAAUAGCUGUUGUUUUUUUUUUAAUCUUAUUUGCUGAAAUCAUGUUGUAACUUAAGUAUUUAUAAAUAAUUACGGUAUUGUGUAUAGAUUUAACAUGCAUGUACAUGUACAGUAUACCUCCUGAAAUUAUUCUGGUAAUGCGGAAAUCUCAAGAUCUGUUUCUUAUUACAUGUAAUUGUGCCAAGUACUACACUAUUUACACAUGAAAUUUUUUUUAAAUAAGAGAUUGGUUCAAUGAUCUACAAAAAUAUUUCAUAAUUUGUGGCUGUUUUGUUAAAUAAAAAAUUUUCAACUUAU